rnacentral:rRNA from 1 species
GACAGAGGGUGCGAACGUUGUUCGGAAUUACUGGGCGUAAAGCGCGUGUAGGCGGCAGCGCAAGUCGGGCGUGAAAUCCCACGGCUCAACCGUGGAAGUGCACUCGAAACUGCGCAGCUAGAGUCCUGGAGAGGAAGGUGGAAUGCUUGGUGUAGAGGUGAAAUUCGUAGAUAUCAAGCGGAACACCGGUGGCGAAGGCGGCCUUCUGGACAGUGACCGACGCUGAGACGCGAAAGCGUGGGGAGCAAACAGG